GAACUGCGAUAAGUAAUGUGAAUUGCAGAAUUCAGUGAAUCAUCGAGUCUUUGAACGCACAUUGCGCCCCCUGGCAUUCCGGGGGGCAUGCCUGUCCGAGCGUCAUUGCUGCUCUUCAAGCCCGGCUUGUGUGUUGGGUCGUCGUCCCCUCCGGGGGACGGGCCCGAAAGGCAGCGGCGGCACCGCGUCCGGUCCUCGAGCGUAUGGGGCUUUGUCACCCGCUCGAUAAGGACCGGCCGGGCGCCAGCCGGCGUCUCCAACCUUUUUUUCUCAGGUUGACCUCGGAUCAGGUAGGGAUACCCGCUGAACUUAAGC
rnacentral:misc_RNA from 1 species